UGCAAGUCGAGCGAAUGGAUUGAGAGCUUGCUCUCAAGAAGUUAGCGGCGGACGGGUGAGUAACACGUGGGUAACCUGCCCAUAAGACUGGGAUAACUCCGGGAAACCGGGGCUAAUACCGGAUAACAUUUUGAACUGCAUGGUUCGAAAUUGAAAGGCGGCUUCGGCUGUCACUUAUGGAUGGACCCGCGUCGCAUUAGCUAGUUGGUGAGGUAACGGCUCACCAAGGCAACGAUGCGUAGCCGACCUGAUGAGAGGGUGAUCGGCCACACUGGGACUGAGACACGGCCCAGACUCCUACGGGAGGCAGCAGUAGGGAAUCUUCCGCAAUGGACGAAAGUCUGACGGAGCAACGCCGCGUGAGUGAUGAAGGCUUUCGGGUCGUAAAACUCUGUUGUUAGGGAAGAACAAGUGCUAGUUGAAUAAGCUGGCACCUUGACGGUACCUAACCAGAAAGCCACGGCUAACUACGUGCCAGCAGCCGCGGUAAUACGUAGGUGGCAAGCGUUAUCCGGAAUUAUUGGGCGUAAAGCGCGCGCAGGUGGUUUCUUAAGUCUGAUGUGAAAGCCCACGGCUCAACCGUGGAGGGUCAUUGGAAACUGGGAGACUUGAGUGCAGAAGAGGAAAGUGGAAUUCCAUGUGUAGCGGUGAAAUGCGUAGAGAUAUGGAGGAACACCAGUGGCGAAGGCGACUUUCUGGUCUGUAACUGACACUGAGGCGCGAAAGCGUGGGGAGCAAACAGGA
rnacentral:rRNA from 1 species